GGUCUGGAUGGCUCAGUGGUUAGAGUGCCUGACUAUUAAUGCAGGGAUCCUGGGUUCGAUUCCUAGUCCAGCCA